rnacentral:lncRNA from 1 species
UCUCGCAUUUGCAUUAUGUGCUCACGCACACCCUUUAUGUUGGUGAGUCUAAGAGAUGAAAAUUUCAUAAUAAGGGUACUUGCUAGUGCCUUAUCCGAAGUGACGAAUUGUUCAUCAAUAGCUUUUAGCAAGUCUCGGACAUUUUCAUGCUGGUCAACAGAACCACGUAUGCCAGCAGUCAUCUUAGUUUUGAUAAACAUCACGCUGAGCCGAUUGGAUCGC